AUUGAACGCUGGCGGCGUGCUUAACACAUGCAAGUCGAUCGGUAACAGGUGUAGCAAUACAUGCUGACGAGAGGCGGACGGGUGAGUAAUGCUUGGGAAUCUGCCUAUUAGUGGGGGACAACCCGGGGAAACUCGGGCUAAUACCGCAUACGCUCUACGGAGGAAAGCCGGGGACCGCAAGGCCUGGCGCUAAUAGAUGAGCCCAAGUCGGAUUAGCUAGUUGGUAGGGUAACGGCCUACCAAGGCGACAAUCCGUAGCUGGUCUGAGAGGACGACCAGCCACACCGGAACUGAGACACGGCCCAGACUCCUACGGGAGGCAGCAGUGGGGAAUAUUGGACAAUGGGCGCAAGCCUGAUCCAGCGAUGCCGCGUGUGUGAAGAAGGCCUGCGGGUUGUAAAGCACUUUCAGUAGGGAAGAAAAGACCGA
rnacentral:rRNA from 1 species